rnacentral:rRNA from 1 species
UACGUAGGGGGCAAACGUUGCUCGGAAUUAUUGGGCGUAAAGGGUGUGUAGGCGGCUGAGCAAGUCAUGGAUGAAAUCCCGGGGCUCAACUCCGGAAGGGUCCUUGAAACUGUUCAGCUUGAGGAUAGUUGAGGAGAGCGGAAUUCCCGGUGGAGCGGUGAAAUGCGUAGAUAUCGGGAGGAACACCAGAGGCGAAGGCGGUUCUCUGAGCUAUUCCUGACGCUGAGACACGAAAGCUAGGGGAGCAAACGGGAUUAGAUACCCCCGUAGUCC